CAAGAUUUUCGCUGCACGCUCUUGUCAAGUCAUACUAAUAUUUCCUCCCAUUAGUAUAUGGUUUUCGGAGCUGCUUACGGAAAAUGAAAUAUAUUUUGCUUUUCCAUUUAUUGCUCUGCGUCAUUGAGUGGGACGUGAUGCGCUAUUUUUCUGAGCACCGUUGGGAUGAAUGGGUGCUUGACUAUGAGCUCGAUCCUACUUUCGAGCAUGAGCUAACGGAUGAAGGUCUCAAAACAACACCAAGGUCAACACCCGUACCGGUACCCCUUACACAACCCAAAUGGGAUAAAGACGGCUAUAGAAUUAAUUAAAAUAAUAUUUUGAACAGUGUUAAUCGAAUUGUAUGUGAC